GAAAGUAAAAAAGGGCGCAUGGCGGAUGCCUUGGCUCUCGGAGGCGAUGAAGGACGUGAUAAGCUGCGAUAAGCUUUGGGGAGGUGCAAAUGACCUUUGAUCCAGAGAUUUCCGAAUGGGACAACCCAAUAUCUUGAAGAGGUAUUAUCCAACGUUGUUGGAGGCUAACGCAGGGAACUGAAACAUCUUAGUACCUGCAGGAAAAGAAAAUAAACAAUGAUUCCCCCAGUAGUGGCGAGCGAACGGGGAACAGCCCAAACCAUCCAUGUUACGGCAUGGGUGGGGUUGUAGGACUACGCCGUUGCAUGAAGACAUCAGAGAAGAACUUUCUGGAAAGAAAGACCAUAGAGCAUGACAGUUGCGUAUUCGAAUGUUGUCGAAGCAUAGUAGUAUCCUGAGUAGCGCGGAGCACGAGGAAUUCUGCGUGAAUCUGCCGGGACCAUCCGGUAAGGCUAAAUACUCCCGAGAGACCGAUAGCGAACCAGUACCGUGAGGGAAAGGUGAAAAGCACUUCGAACAGAAGAGUGAAAUAGUUCCUGAAACCGUGCGCCUACAAGCGGUCGGAGCUCGUUAAUGAGUGACGGCGUGCCUUUUGCAUAAUGAACCUACGAGUUGCCUUUGCCGGCAAGGUUAAGUGUGACGACACACGUAUCCGAAGCGAAAGCGAGUCUGAAUAGGGCGUAUAGUCGGCAGUGGCAGACGCGAAACCAAGUGAUCUACCCUUGGCCAGGUUGAAGGCUGGGUAACACCAGCUGGAGGACCGCACCAAUAAGCGUUGAAAAGCUUCUGGAUGAGCUGAGGGUAGGGGUGAAAGGCUAAUCAAACUUGGAGAUAGCUCGUACUCCCCGAAAUGCAUUUAGGUGCAGCCUUGCGGGUUACUGAUGUGAGGUAGAGCGACUGAUAAGAUGCGAGGGCUUCACCGCCUAUCAAGUCUUGACAAACUCCGAAUGCGCAUCAGUUCUACCGCAGGAGUGAGGGCAUGGGUGCUAAGGUCCGUGCCCGAGAGGAGAAGAAUCCGGACCACCUGCUAAGGUCCCGAAAUGACAGCUAAGUUAAACUAACGAAGUCUGACUGCUAAGACAGCUAGGAUGUUGGCUUGGAAGCAGCCAUUCAUUUAAAGAGUGCGUAACAGCUCACUAGUCGAGGAGUCGGGCGUGGAUAAUAAUCGGGUAUUAAGUUGUCUACCGAAGCAGUGGGAUCAUUUAUAUGAUCGGUAGGGGAGCAUUCCAGUCAGCGUCGAAGGCGUACCGUGAGGUAUUCUGGAGCGUCUGGAAAAGCAAAUGUAGGUAUAAGUAACGAUAAAGGGGGCGGGAAACCCCCUCGCCGAAAGACUAAGGUUUCCUGAUCAACGCUAAUCGGAUCAGGGUCAGUCGGGUCCUAAGGCUCAGCCGAACGGCGAUGCCGAUGGCAGAAACGGUUAAUAUUCCGUUACUACCUUCAGGAGUGACGUGGAGACGCAGUAGUGACAGUGCCGCCAUCUGACGGAAUAGAUGGUUGAAGGGUGUAGGAGUCGAUCAUGGCAGGCAAAUCCACCAUGAGAUCCGAACCUGAUAGUAUGCCGCGUCCUUCGGGACAAGGCAAUAGUGCGCGUAAGCAUGCUGCCGAGAAAAUCCGCUAAACUUAAUCCUGUAGGUACCCGUACCGCAAACGGACACACGUAGUCGGGAUGAAUAUUCUAAGGCGCUUGAGUGAUUCACGGUUAAGGAACUAGGCAAACUGACCCUGUAACUUCGGGAUAAAGGGUCCCUACCCUUUUAUGGGAGGGCGCAGAGAAUCGGUCCAGGCAACUGUUUAACAAAAACACAGGGCUGUGCCAAAUCGAAAGAUCCAGUAUACAGCCUGACACCUGCCCGGUGCUGGAAGGUUAAGAGGAGAUGUCAUCGAUAAGAGAAGCGUUGAAUUGAAGCCCCAGUAAACGGCGGCCGUAACUAUAACGGUCCUAAGGUAGCGAAAUUCCUUGUCGGGUAAGUUC
rnacentral:rRNA from 1 species